AAGCGUCCGAGCAACAGGUCAACAGAAACCAAACGAACCAGUGCACAACAGCAGCAAAUGGGGGACAAAAAAACACAACAAAUAAGCAUGCAUGUAGCAAGCAAAGCAGAAGAGCUCUCAUGAGAAAACAAGAACAGAGGCAGCUCAUACAAGAACUGAAGCGCACAAGCAGAUGUCGCCGAGCUCUUGGCCAAUCAUGGGCUUGUCGGGGUGUGAAUCGUUAAAUCUAAUGUUGCGAUCUCGAGUUUCCAGAGUCACACCGAUCGAACCCUCCUUGGAAGCCUAACCCUCAUUAAAUUUUUUUUAUUAAUGAAUCUUUCAAAUUUUUAUUGGCCCCUACAACAGAACCCUCCUUGGUUUCCAUCUUGAAGCUGCCAAAUCCAAUGACAACAGGAUAUCGAUGAAGCCAAAUGUUAUUGCCGGAUAUGAGUUGAGUUCUAAAUUUUUUGGUUGUGAAUUCUUUUUGGGCAUGGGUAAUUUUCUGGAUUAGGCUUUGUUAUGUAUACAUAUCAAUAUUCUUGUAAUAUGUUUCACAUCUCUUGAAUGCAUGAAAUUAUUUGUCUUAGCAAGACCUAAAGAUUGUUACUUUUUGAAUGACUCAGCUGGAUGUAGAAUGAAGCUUCCAUGUACUCCCCAAAAUAACUUGCAGAGACGGU
rnacentral:lncRNA from 1 species